AGCCUUAUAGUUUUAAGAAUGUCAAAUUGCAAAUUUGAGGGGGGGGGGGACCUCUAAGGCUU
rnacentral:tRNA from 1 species